rnacentral:lncRNA from 1 species
GAGCAGAAACUCAAGAGAAAACAAACUUAGUGGGAAACCACUUCAGGCUGAAUCAUGAACUUGAGUGGAACAGCUGAGGGGGCAGAAGGAAUUGUUUGAUAAUGACCACCCUGGGAGUGAAAGCCAUGGGAAGAUUCUGUGCCAGGCUGCUGUCCAACCGCAUAGCAUGACAAGACUGGGGUACAUCCCACGCUCCCUGUGCUGCUGACGUGGGAAGGAAGUUCAGGAGUGGAGUCUCAAGGGCUGUGGUCUGCAGUGGGACGAGACGCCUGCUGGUGAACUGCUGGGAGCACCAAACCUCGGAUCAAGAAGCUUGUAGACAAGCUGGCCAGAAAUGAUACUGGAUUAACUCAGCAGAUAUAGAAGAAAUCAGGUAACUGCUUUGAUUCUUUUGAUGUUGUGUUAAAUUGCCUAAUCACCGGCAGUGACCAGAUGAUGCUUUGUUUCUCAGGGACU